rnacentral:rRNA from 1 species
UACGUAGGUGGCAAGCGUUGUCCGGAUUUACUGGGCGUAAAGGGUAUGCAGGCGGGUUUUUAAGUAGAAAGUGAAAGGUUGGAGCUCAACUCCGACACUGCUUUCUAUACUGGGAGCCUUGAGUGCUGGAGAGGAAGAGGGAACUGCACGUGUAGCGGUGAUAUGCGUUGAGAUGUGCAGGAACACCAAUGGCGAAAGCACUCUUCUGGACGGUUACUGACGCUGAGAUACGAAAGCCAAGGGAGCGAACAGG